rnacentral:rRNA from 1 species
UGGGGAAUAUUGCGCAAUGGCCGCAAGGCUGACGCAGCGACGCCGCGUGGAGGAUGAAGCCCCUCGGGGUGUAAACUCCUGUUGCUCGGGACGAACCAUGGGUUUCGACCCAUCUGACGGUACCGAGUGAGGAAGCACCGGCUAACUCCGUGCCAGCAGCCGCGGUAAUACGGAGGGUGCGAGCGUUGUCCGGAAUCACUGGGCGUAAAGGGCGCGUAGGCGGUCUGGUAAGCGUGUGGUGAAAGCCCGGGGCUCAACCCCGGGUCUGCCGUGCGAACUGCCGGACUCGAGCACUGUAGAGGCAGGUGGAAUUCCGAGUGUAGCGGUGGAAUGCGUAGAGAUUCGGAGGAACACCGGUGGCGAAGGCGGCCUGCUGGGCAGUGUCUGACGCUGAGGCGCGACAGCGUGGGGAGCAAACAGG